rnacentral:rRNA from 1 species
AGUAGGGCGGGACACGUGUUAUCCUGUCUGAAUAUGGGGGGACCAUCCUCCAAGGCUAAAUACUCCUGACUGACCGAUAGUGAACCAGUACCGUGAGGGAAAGGCGAAAAGAACCCCUGUGAGGGGAGUGAAAUAGAACCUGAAACCGUGUACGUACAAGCAGUAGGAGCACCUUCGUGGUGUGACUGCGUACCUUUUGUAUAAUGGGUCAGCGACUUAUAUUCAGUGGCAAGGUUAACCAUCUAGGGGAGCCGUAGGGAAACCGAGUCUUAACUGGGCGCCAUAGUCUCUGGAUAUAGACCCGAAACCGAGUGAUCUAGCCAUGGGCAGGUUGAAGGUUGAGUAACAUCAACUGGAGGACCGAACCGACUAAUGUUGAAAAAUUAGCGGAUGACUUGUGGCUAGGGGUGAAAGGCCAAUCAAACUCGGAGAUAGCUGGUUCUCCCCGAAAGCUAUUUAGGUAGCGCCUCGGACGAAUACUACUGGGGGUAGAGCACUGUUAAGGCUAGGGGGUCAUCCCGACUUACCAACCCUUUGCAAACUCCGAAUACCAGUAAGUACUAUCCGGGAGACACACGGCGGGUGCUAACGUCCGUCGUGGAGAGGGAAACAACCCAGACCGCCAGCUAAGGUCCCAAAUUACAGCUAAGUGGGAAACGAUGUGGGAAGGCUUAGACAGCUAGGAUGUUGGCUUAGAAGCAGCCAUCAUUUAAAGAAAGCGUAAUAGCUCACUAGUCGAGUCGGCCUGCGCGGAAGAUGUAACGGGGCUAAGUU